rnacentral:misc_RNA from 1 species
UUUCCGUAGGUGAACCUGCGGAAGGAUCAUUCAUAAUAAGUGUUUUAUGGCACUUUUUUAAAUCCAUAUCCACCUUGUGUGCAAUGUCAGGGUUGAUUUUUCUCUCGAGAGGAUCAACCUCAAACAUCAACUAUAUCUCAACUCUUUGUCUGAAAAAUAUUAUGAAUAAAACAAUUCAAAAUACAACUUUCAACAACGGAUCUCUUGGCUCUC